rnacentral:miRNA from 13 species
UGCACUGUGAGCGACCUCCUUA